rnacentral:rRNA from 1 species
GACGAACUGCCCAAACGUUGUUCGGAAUCACUGGGCUUAAAGGGUGCGUAGGCUGCGCAGCAAGUUGGGUGUGAAAUCCCUCGGCUUAACCGAGGAACUGCGCCCAAAACUGCUGUGCUCGAGGGAGAUAGAGGUGAGCGGAACUUAGGGUGGAGCGGUGAAAUGCGUUGAUAUCCUAAGGAACACCGGUGGCGAAAGCGGCUCACUGGAUCUCGUUCUGACGCGUGAGGCACGAAAGCGUGGGUAGCAAACAGGG